CCUACGGGUGGCAGCAGUGGGGAAUAUUGCGCAAUGGGCGCGAGCCUGAAGCAGCCAAGUCGCGUGAAUGAUGACUGCCCUCCGGGUGGUAAACUUCUUUUAUAAAGGAGUAAAGUGAGGCACGUGUGCCUUUUUGUAUGUACUUUAUGAAUAAGAGUCGGCUAACUCCGUUCCAGCCGACGCGGUAAUACGGAGGAUCCGAGCGUUAUCCGGAUUUGUUGGGUUUAAAGGGAGCGUAGAUGGGUUGUUAAGUCAGUUGUGAAAGUUUGCGGCUAAACCGUAAAAUUGCAAUUGAUACUGGCAGCCUUGAGGACAGUUGAGGUAGGCGGAAUUCGUGGUGUAGCGGUGAAAUGCUUAGAUAUCACGAAGAACUCCGAUUGCGAAGGCAGCUUACUAAACUGCCACUGACAUUGAUGCUCGAAAGUGUGGGUAUCAAACAGGAUUAGAUACCCCGGUAGUC
rnacentral:rRNA from 1 species